rnacentral:rRNA from 1 species
UACGUAGGGUGCGAGCGUUAAUCGGAAUUACUGGGCGUAAAGCGUGCGUAGGUGGUUCGUUGUGUCUGUGGUGAAAGCCCCGGGCUUAACCUGGGAAUGGCCAUGGAAACUGGCGAGCUGGAGUCUGGCAGAGGGGGGUGGAAUUCCGCGUGUAGCAGUGAAAUGCGUAGAGAUCGAGCGGAACACCAGUGGCGAAGGCGAGUUCUUGGACAAGUCCUGACACUGAGGCACGAAAGCCAGGGGAGCAAACAGG